rnacentral:rRNA from 1 species
AUUGAACGCUGGCGGCAUGCUUUACACAUGCAAGUCGAACGGUAACAGGCCGCAAGGUGCUGACGAGUGGCGAACGGGUGAGUAAUGCAUCGGAACGUGCCCAGUCGUGGGGGAUAACGCAGCGAAAGCUGCGCUAAUACCGCAUACGAUCUUUGGAUGAAAGCGGGGGACCGUCAGGUCUCGCGCGAUUGGAGCGGCCGAUGACAGAUUAGGUAGAUGGUGGGGUACAGGCUCACCAAGCCAACGAUCUGUAGCUGGUCUGAGAGGACGACCAGCCACACUGGGACUGAGACACGGCCCAGACUCCUACGGGAGGCAGCAGUGGGGAAUUUUGGACAAUGGGCGCAAGCCUGAUCCAGCAAUGCCGCGUGCAGGAAGAAGGCCUUCGGGUUGUAAACUGCUUUUGUACGGAACGAAAAGGCUCUGGAUAAUACCUGGGGCUCAUGACGGUACCGUAAGAAUAAGCACCGGCUAACUACGUGCCAGCCGCCGCUGUAAGAC